UACGAAGGGGGCUAGCGUUGCUCGGAAUCACUGGGCGUAAAGCGCACGUAGGCGGAUUGCUAAGUCAGGGGUGAAAUCCUGGAGCUCAACUCCAGAACUGCCUUUGAUACUGACGAUCUCGAGUCCGGGAGAGGUGAGUGGAACUGCGAGUGUAGAGGUGAAAUUCGUAGAUAUUCGCAAGAACACCAGUGGCGAAGGCGGCUCACUGGCCCGGUACUGACGCUGAGGUGCGAAAGCGUGGGGAGCAAACAGG
rnacentral:rRNA from 1 species